rnacentral:rRNA from 1 species
GACGUAGGAUGCGAGCGUUGUUCGGAUUUAUUGGGCGUAAAGCGUGCGUAGGCGGCUAUUUAAGUCUGGUGUUAAAGCUAGGGGCUCAACCCCUGUGAUGCACUGGAUACUGGGUAGCUUGAGUGCGGUAGGGGAAGGUGGAAUUCCGAGUGUAGCGGUGAAAUGCGUAGAUAUUCGGAAGAACACCGGUGGCGAAGUCGGCCUUCUGGGCCGCGACUGACGCUGAGGCACGAAAGCCUGGGGAGCGAACGGG